CACUUUGAGCAUUUCCUUUGUCCUCCAGGUCGGCGGGGUUUGUUUGUACUUUUAGGACUUUUCUAUUGGUUCCAUUACAACAAACUCAAACACUGCUAAUUAAAUAUUCAACAUUAUUUUAACGCAGGUCUGUUUCCACAUGCAAUAAGCCUGUAACGUCUUGUAUGAUCUCAUCAGGUAAAGGUGUGUCAAAUGGAAGGGCAAGUCUCACCACUGAGAGGAAAACAUCACUGGUCCACCUCUGCAUCAGGUCAGCUAUGUUGAUCAGUACUGUCCCAGGGAUGCUGGGAGCAGAGAUGAACUCCCUGACCUGGUACCACCUAUGGAGUUGUCAUUUUAAUAUCAGUUUAACCCCAUUACUGCUAUAACACAUAAACCAUGUUAAUAGAAUGAAAUGGAUCCAGGUUCCAUUUAUUCUACAUCAGAUUUACUGCCUGUGGAACACUUCUCCAUAGUGUCUGAAAUCAAGAUGACUGCAGGUCUGAAUCCCAAACUAAUGGGGGGAAAUGGAUCCAUCUAAUAAGAUGGUAUUUAGAGAAACAUAGGGAAGACAUCAAAACUCCAAAAUAACACAUGGAAUCAUGUAGUAACCAACAACAUGUUAAACAAAUCAAGUGGAGGCCAGGUCAUCUGAUGCAGCACUCCAUCACUCUCCUUCUUGGUCAAAUAGCCCUUACACAGCCUGGAGGUGUCAUUGACCUGCUGGAAAACAAAUGAUACUACCACUAAGCACAAACCAGAUGGGAUGGCGAAUCACUGCAGAUUGCUAUGGUAGCCAUGCUGAUUAAGUUUGCCUUGAAUUCUAAAUAAAUCACUGACAUUCACCAGCAAAGCACCAUCACACCUCCUCCUCCAUGCUUCACGGUAGGAGCCACACAUGCAGAGAUCAUCUGUUCACCUCCUCUGCUUCUCACAAAGACAUCACACCUCCUCCUCCAUGCUUCACGGUGGGAACCACACAUGCAGAGAUCAUCUGUUCAUCUACUCUGCUUCUCACAAAGACACGGUUGGAACCAGAUAUCUUAAAUUUGAACUCAUCAGACAAAAGGACAGAUUUCCACCGGUCUAAUGUCCAUUGCUCGUGUUUCUUGGCUCAAGCAAGUCUCUUCUUAUUAUUGGUGUCCAUUAGCAGUGGUUUCUUUGCAGCAAUUGAUAGUGAGGGUGUUUUCUGUUAACAGAAUGUGUUUCUUGUUAAAAGGCUGAAUAUCAAUAAAGGGAAUAAGCAAAGACACUG